CAGUCGCCACGGUAAAACGAAGGGUGCAAGCGUUAAUCGGAAUUACUGGGCGUAAGGCGUGCGUAGGCGGUGAGUUAAGUCUGCUGUGAAAUCCCCGGGCUCAGCCUGGGAAUGGCAGUGGAUACUGGCUCGCUAGAGUGUGUCAGAGGAUGGUGGAAUUCCCGGUGUAGCGGUGAAAUGCGUAGAGAUCGGGAGGAACAUCAGUGGCGAAGGCGGCCAUCUGGGACAACACUGACGCUGAGGCACGAAAGCGUGGGGAGCAAACAGGAUUAGAUACCCCCGUAGUCCCUGUCUCUUAUAC
rnacentral:rRNA from 1 species